rnacentral:rRNA from 1 species
UAUGAAGGGGGCUAGCGUUGCUCGGAAUCACUGGGCGUAAAGGGUGCGUAGGCGGGUUUUUAAGUCAGGGGUGAAAUCCUGGAGCUCAACUCCAGAACUGCCUUUGAUACUGAAGAUCUCGAGUCCGGGAGAGGUGAGUGGAACUGCGAGUGUAGAGGUGAAAUUCGUAGAUAUUCGCAAGAACACCAGUGGCGAAGGCGGGUCACUGGCCCGGUACUGACGCUGAGGCACGAAAGCGUGGGGAGCAAACAGG